GGAGGAGGAGGAGAGGGAGGAGGGGGGGAAAAAGAAGAAGAAGGAGGAGGAGGAGGAGGAGGAACGGGGCGGGGGGCGCCGCCGUUGGAGGCUGAGGCCGAGGCUGAGCAGCCGUCAGCCAUUUUCCCUUGCCCUCCAAAACACCGGCGGCGCGGGGCCUGCCGCCCGGCAUCGCCCCCUCCUCCUCCUCCUUCUCCCUUCUCCCUCCUCCUCCUCCUCGCUGCACCCCGUCCCCGGGGAGCUCCCCACACGCAGCUCCCGGCCCCACCCGGCCCCGGCCCCGGUCCCGGCCCGGUCUCGCCGCCACUCACCCCCGCACGGCGUCGUCCCCUCCUGGUCCCGCGGCUGCCGCUGCCACAGCCCGGAGCCCCGCCGCCCGCUGCUGCUGCUGCUGGCGGAGCGCGGCCGGCGCCUGCCUCAUCCCCGGCGGCCGCCGGGGCUCAUGGCAGGCCCCGCGCUGCCGGCUCGGGCGACGAGGGGGGCGGCUCCGCUCCGCCGGGAGAGAAAGGCGAGGAGAAGGCGAGGGAAGGAGGAGGAGGAGGAGGAGAGGGGCCAAGCCGCUGCGGCUCCCGGCUGCGCUCCGUCCCCGCGGCUCGGCUCGGCUGGGCUCGGGCGUUUUUCCUGCGUCACCAGCUCCUGCCCGGCCGCCCUGCGCUGCGCUCCGGCUGCCGACGGGGCUCGGCCGGGGCCUGCGCGCUCCGCUCCGCCCCGUCCGGGCACCGCGGCCACGGGGGGGGAUGGAGGAGGAGGAGGAGGAGGAGGAGGAGGAGGAGGAGGGGGCAGCCGCGCCGCUCGCCUCGGGGGCCCGGGGCUCGGCUGGGCUGGGCGGGGGCGGGCAGGAAGGAAGGCGGCGGCGGCGGCGGAGGAGAGCGCCGGGCGCUGACGGCUCCGAGGAGGAGAUGGGGAGGGAGGGACGGGGGUGAGGGGGGGGAAAGGAGGGAGGGAGGCGGCGGCGGCUCCUCAGUCUCGCGGGGCCCUGCACAAGAUGGCGGCCCCGGUGGCGGCGGCGGCGGCGCGGCCCUCGCACACUCCUCACACGCUUUUACACACGCACACGCGAGGGAGAGACACGCGUGUAACGGGUUUUGUGAAUUUUAUUUAUUAUUUUAUUUAUUUUUAUUUUUUGGAGCGGGGGGGGGUUGGGGGCGUGUCACGCGCGCCGCCGUUUCACGCCGGUUGGGCCCGCGCGGGUUCCAUUGUGGCCCGCCGGCACGGCCGCCGGGUGACGUCACGCGGCCGCGGCCCCGCCUCCCGCUCCGCCUCAGGGGCGUGAGGAAAUGGCCGCCGGGCAGCCCCGCGGCGACGCGCUCCGUCCCGCACGGUCUCGCCUCACCUCAAGCGGCGCCUAACGCCUCGUUUUUGUGCUUUUUCUUCAUCUUUUGGCCCUUUUCUCUGUUUUCACGUUAA
rnacentral:lncRNA from 1 species